rnacentral:rRNA from 1 species
UGUAAAUACUUGUUGAGAAAAAAGUGUAAAAAAGAAUAAGAAAAAUAAUUUUAAUUUUAUAUAUUAGUAGGUUUUAAUGAAAUUAAAAUACAAACUAUAUCAAAAAGUACUGUGAAGGAAAGUUUAAAAACUUAAAAUAGUAAAAAUAAAAUUUUGUGCCUUGUGUAUCAGAAAAAAUUUAUAUAAUUUAGUUAUUUUAAACAUCUCGAAAUAAAAUAUAGUGAUUUUUAUAAAAUUUUCUUUUUAGAAAAAAAGAAUUAAAUAUAAAGAUUAAAGUGAAAUGCUAGUUGAGUUUUAUUAUAUCUAGUUUUUUCAAAAAUAAAUUUAAUUUGGUUUUUAUAAUAAAUUUUUAUAAAAUUAAAUGAUAGGAGGUAUUAGCUUCUUAUGUAAAAUAGUAGUAAAUAGUUAAAAAUAAAGUAAAUUAUAAAUUAAGCUUAGAAGUAGCUAUAUUAAAAAAGUGUUUUAAUUAAAUUAUAAUUAUUAAAAAAUUUAUAUUAACUUUUAAAAGUAUGAAAAAAUUAUUAUUAACAAAAAUAAAUAAAAUAUAAUGAUUUUAUUAGUAAAAUUUAUUUAGAAAAAAAACAAUAUUGAAAUAUUAAAUAACUUAUAUUAAAAUGAAUAUUAAUAUAAAGGAAUUCAGCAAAAAAUUUCUUUGCCUGUUUAUCAAAAACAUGUCUUUUUGAAAAUAUAAAAAGUCAAGCCUGCCCACUGAUUAAUUUAAGGGCCGCGGUAUUUUGACCGUGCGAAGGUAGCGUAAUCAUUAGGUUUUUAAUUGAAAUCUUGUAUGAAUGGUUAGACAAGGGAAAAUCUGUCUCUGUUAUUAAAAAUUGAAUUUAACUUUUAAGUGAAAAGGCUUAAAUAAAUUUAAAAGACGAUAAGACCCUAUAAAGCUUGAUAUUAAAUAUUAUUUAAUUAAAUUUCAUAUAAAAUUUUUAUAAUAUAAUUUUAUUUUAUUGGGGUGAUAAAAGUAAAAAGAUUACUAACUGCUUAUGUAAAAAACAUAUAUAAUUGAAAUAAGUUUAUAAUAGAUCCUGAUUAAAGAUUAUAAGUUUAAGUUACUUUAGGGAUAACAGCGUUAUUUUUUUUGAGAGUACAUAUCGAAAAAAGAGUUUGCGACCUCGAUGUUG